UAUGUUAAGGUGUUUGAGGCACAUGAGUUUUUGAUACUUAAAGGAACAGUUUAAUUCUGUUUAACAUAA
rnacentral:tRNA from 1 species